AAUUUGAAUAUGUAAUCGGAUUGCAAAUGCAGGGUACUCCAUUGCAAUGAAUAAAAGCUAAGAGCUUGCUUGCACAUACUUUUAUUGCACGAUGAAGCUGCACCUUGAGAGGUGGGCCACGGAGCUGGAAUGUUAUCAUUCAAUCACAAAGGAAGCUGACCCCUUAACUGUCAAAUGUUGCAUCGGAAGGCAGGCUCGGCAAAAGACAUCCAGACGCUAUGAUGCAAAAGUAUAACGAAAGACCAGUUUACAAGAUUAGAAGAAGAAACGAGUAAAAAGCACUGGUACGAAAUUAUUGACAACUCAACCAGCAUUGGCAAAGUCAAAAUUAGUUAUUCUGACAAUAAAUUCAAAAUUGCAACCUUUUCUUUUGGAUACAGUAAUUUUUUUUUCUUUGAGUACGCUAAAAUAAUGGGUGAUCCAAACGAAAGUAAGUUUAUUACCUUGAUUUCCAACUGAGUGUGCAAAUCCAUCCCCAAAUGAUUUUGACAUGUAUAAAGUACACAAUCAGUACUAGCACCAAGGUAGGCUGUUUAUCGUUUGGUAAAGAAAAUACAGGAACAGAGGAAGCACUAACCUUGAAGAGAGAAAUCCUUGAGGCUUAUAUGACAUAGGCUAUACACAUCUUCGAUAAUAUUUGAUUUUCUUAACUUCAUUCCCAGUGAUGCAGCACAAUCCCAAGUUUGCAAGUUGGUAAUGAGACUCUGCUUUUGUAAGUGCGCCACAUAGCUCUCCAUGGCAGUGCCACAUGCAGUCCGGUUACUUAUCCCAUUCCCACAACCCAUUGCAACAUGCUUCAUGUCAGGGAAAACCAGGGGGCAAGCUGAAGUGAACACCAGACAGAAAUACACGAUCAGAUACUCCAAUCGAAGAUUGGCAUCUCCAAGUAAAAUCAAACUAAUACAAGAUGCAGAGCAGAAACAUAAACUAGUAUGCUUUCUCUCGCUCUAUUUCUAUUUCUCUCUCACACAAAAAUCACGUAUAAUAAACUUUCACAAGACGGGAGUAAGCCCCGAAUAUGAUGAAGGCAGACAACUAGAACACCAAUGAUAUCUCUUAUAUGACUGAUCCAUAUUCAUAGAGAUGGCAAUCCACCUAUAGAAGUGCCAAGAUAAUUCCUUCCAAUACAGAAAGAAAGAGACUAAUCAUAAAAAUAGGAGAGAGUCUAUAAGAAUAUAUAUGUAAUAAUAUAUUUCCUUAACCACUGGCACUAAUUCAUCGAUACAGUUUUAGGAGACAACUCUAAGAAACUUCUAGAUAAAUUUAUGAAUAUCCCAUUUUUAACCGGUUAACAUAAUAACUAUAAUUUUCCAUUUUCCUGUUUAGAAAAACUAAGAACUACAAGAUAAAAGGAAAGUGCAGAAUUUGAUGGAGGUCCUAUGUAGCACCAUAUUUUACUAUAAACUCACCCUUGUUAAUCUUGCAAUUAGAUAGUCCCCGAGAAGGACUGAGUUUACUUCCCAGCCACCGGAGGACAAUAUUUUUGCAGUCAUUGACUUUACUUAAUCGAUCAGGUAAGAGAUCAUGAGCACCGCACCAUCUGUGCUCAAAAGAUCAGAAGCUUUCGAUGCAAUCCUUGUAGCAGCCUCUAAUAUGGCAUUCUCACAAGUUUGAGCGCAACAUUCUUUCACAGGGUCAAUCUUCUCACAAGCGGCAAGCAACUUUGAAGUAUCAACUGUAUCCUCAAACUCAUUAACAUAAAAAACUGGGCAAGAUGCAUCAGUCAGAUUUGAUGAAUGAACCGAGCAUAUUUGUGCAAGACUGUCAUUCGCACCCUGGCCCACCAAAAUCUGUUCAAUAUCUGAUAGACAGUGUUUAGCAGUUGUUCCAUUUAAAGCAAGAACAUUGGUUUCUUUACUGGAUUGACCAACGAGAAUUGUGAGAGUGGCUUCCAACUGUGGACAACACAUUACAUUAGCCAGCAGGGCCGGUCCUGGCCUAGUGCCAGUAGGGCGACCGCUCGAGGCCCAAAAAAAAGAGGAGCACCAAAAAAAAUUAAGUUGCCUCAUAUAUGUAUAAGGUUUUGUUUUAUUCUUGAUAUAUAGUAAACGCUCAUAUUAAAUAUCAAUAUGUUUUAGAUGACAGGGUGGUUUUAUUUGGUUUAUGUUUCCGUGCCCACUCAGGUUCAAUUCCUUAUCUCAACAUAGAGAAAUUUUUCUGAGUACCGGGUACUCAAGACAGCUGGUGUUCCCCACCAAUGAACACCAGACACCUGGCUAUCUUCUUUUUGUAUUGCAUACGUUGGCACUUAAUAAUUUAUCUUCCUAGUUAGUCCCUAACAAAACUGUUUCAGAAAAUAAUUAUAUAAAAAAGAAAAAAACAUAAAAAGUUAAACAAAACUGUUGAACCUAGAUCGUCGUCCCGAGUCUUCGACCUUCACCCCACCCCCACCCAUCUCCGCAUCCCCUCGUCGUCACUAUCUCUCUCUCUCCCUCUCCCUGUCUCUUUCUAUCUCCUUCUCUUCCAAUUUUUCAAUCUACUCCUCCCUUACGCCGGAGAAAGAUCCUAGAAAUUGCCCGCGACCACCCUCGCACUUCAAUCGGAGGUCUGCGACAUCUAAUUUGAAGGUCAGAGUGUCGUUGAUCAGUCUGCAAUGAAAAUAUCAACUUCGAGAUUCUCCGGUGAAAAUUAUCAGCUUCGAUUGAUGGGGGUGAUUGUCUUGGCCGAGUUCUUGGCGGCGCUGGGUGGGUGGUGCUAAUGGUGAUUAUUCUCAAUUUCUGUUAGGGUUUGGGGUAAAUUAGUAAUUUUGUAAAAGAAAAAAAUGACAUUGUCUUAAUUAAAAACUUGGAUAAUUACGUGUCAAGCUUCUAUUUGCUAGGAACACCAACUCAACUGGGGUACCCAGUACCCCGAAAAUUUUCUUCUCAACAUAAAGGGGUAGUUUGCCUUUUUUUUUUUCAUGUCUACUUUAAAUAACAAACAAACAUUAAUUAGGUUAUUAAAUAUGGCAUUUUGUUUUGUUUUCAGUUUGAAUUUACUCGCAAAAUCAUGUUCAAGUUUGUCUAAAUAUAAAUUUGGGUUUUUUUGUAUUUGUUGAUAAUUUUUUCAUGGUUAAGUAAUAAAAUGUUGUCAUUAUCUUUUUAUUGAACGAAGUAUUGUUAUUGACAAUCCAAAAAUAUCAUCCUACGCUUCUUUGUAUAAUUUUUCCCUUAUGAUUUUAUAUAUUUGGAAUAAACCGCAACUUUUCAUGAGUGUUUGAAAAACAAAAACAUAGUUGAAUUACUAUGUGCCCUUUGGUAGUAGCAAUUUGUUGUUUUCAUUUGUUGCUUACAUAUAGAAAUUAGAGAUCUUAAAUAUGAAAAAUUCAUUUCAAAGGUUUCAUAAUGUGCAAGUAGCUUGUAGAUCAAUGAGUUUAGUGUAAAUUAUCCUAUCAUUUGUCAAAAAAGUCAUAAUGUGAAAAAGGUCUAUUUUCUUUAACAUUCGAUAUACAACAUACGAAUACUAAGAUAAAUAAUUAUUUUAUGUGAAGUUAUGUUAGGGCAUAUUUUUUCAAUGUCGCCCAAGGCCUAAAAAAACUCAAGACCGCCCUUGUUAGCCAGUAAUGGUGCAAAAACGGACCAGCAAUCAAUUGAGGUCACACUCAUCAAACUCUCAGCAACACUGAAGUUUAGUCUACAUAGUCCUACAAGCACGGAUCAACGAGAAAAGUAGGUAACUUGAGAACCAAAUCACAUAAUGCCAAGGGGAAUUUAGUUUAACUAGAGCAAAUAAGGAGGGAGAUAAUUUUGGGAUGGUGGUAUUAGUAUAUGGUGCCAAUGGUGAAUGAGCAAGAAAUGGAAGAAAGGGUUGAGGAGUAGAGGUUGGCACGGGCCGGGCCGGGCCCAAAUUUGAAGAAACCUAGCCCUACCCGUUUUAAAAUGUAAUAGGGCGGGUAGAGAUAUUUUGAAUUUGAGAACCAAACCUAACCCGGCUCGUUUCAAACGGGCCGGUUCGGGACGGGUCCACGGGUCCAACUACUUUUUUUUUUCUUUUUUUUCUUUUUUUCUGAUUUUGGGUAUACUGCCAACAGCUCGCGACCCCCAGUUUUCCAUUUGCAAAGUCCGCUUGCCACAUCUCAUCGAUCAACAAACCACAGAUUAAACAUUUUUCUCUCCCUAUAAAUGCAACCCUUCUAAUCUUCUGAAAAAUUUGUGAUCUGGGUUAUGUAGGGGAUCAAACAUUUUUCAAGCAUUUCUCACGCCCCAACCCCAACCUAAAUCCCCAAAUAGAACAAAUUAAUAAAUAAAUAAAAAAUCUUCAAAUACAAUUUCAAAUUCAUCAAAAAAAUAAAUAAAACUAAAUCCCUAUUUAAGCUAAAUCCCCAACAUUUUUAUGAAUUUUUCAAGCAAAUUAACUGAAUCCCUAAUUCCUAAAUCCCCAAAUUCGAAUUCAGAAUAAAACUGAAAUUAGAUGCCGAGAAGAAGAGAAGUAGGAGCCUAGGACAACCUCGUUGAGUCUACAUAGCCACACCAGCAGCUUCGAUUGGAGCUGCUGACCCUGACACACAAAUCGAACAAGAGAUGUCCUCUUCCAUGGAUCCCAUCCUCGCCAUUACAAAAUCAGAAAACCACAAAGUCAGAAACCCACAAAAUCAGAAACCCUAAUCAAUCGAAAAGCUUAUGUAAAUACCCUAAAUUCCUAAAUUAGAAACCCUAAUUCAUAAAUUACCUAGGGAUACCACGAUGGAGAGUCAGGAGAGGAUGCGACGAUGGUGACGGUGGUUGGCUGCUAUGAUGUUGACACAGUCGAGGUCGACUCAGUCACUACGGGUGUGAGGGACAAGUAAGUGUGGAAAGUCCAUGUACGAAGAUGGAAGCCUGGGCUUGGGAUUGAGGUCUGAGACGAGAGAGGAAAUGAGAUUCAAGGAAGAGAGAUCGAGGAAGAAGACUCGGAAUGGUGUCGCGGAAACUCAGAGUUAUGAUAGAGAAAGAGGGUGAGGAGAGAGGGUGAGAGGAUAGUUUGAGAAAAUUGUGUCUGAGAUUUAGGGUAAGAAUAAGAGAGUGAAGGUGAUAGAUAGAAGGUAGAGAUUUAGGCAAUGAACGGUCCGAGCCGGAGGCCUAUUUUCUCCAAUUUUUAAAACUAGCCUACCCCGCCCCAUUUUGUAUUUUUAAUUUUUGGACCCGCCCCGUACCCACCCCGACCCGCGGGUCCAGGACCCAUUCGCCUACCUCUACUGAGGAAUCGAUGUAGGAGAGAUCAUUGGUAACAUAGAAUCUUUUUGCUUAAUCGACAAGACUUGAUCUUUAAGAUAAUCUAACAUGUUGUAACCAAGGUUUAAAAUAUCGAUGAUAUCGGAAAUAUCGGUAGUCCAAAAACAUGGAAAUAUCGAUGGAAAUAUCGGGAUAUUAUCAAUAUCGAUAAAAAUUGAAUAAAAACCACAGAAAUUGUAAGAAAAACUUGGAAAUUUUUAUUGAAACUUUGCAGGAUGUUUAUUUAGUCAAUUAUCUAUUAGUUUAUCACAAAAAAUUGGAAGGAAAUGCAUUGCAUGAUGGAUUUAACUGAUUUAAGUUGAUUAUAUAGCGAGCUGGCAAACAUUGUGAGUGUAGAAAAUAUGUAGUAAUUAAUGAAAGAAGUUUAAACACACCAUAAUCAUUUAUAUAUAAUGACUUAGUACAAUAUUUUACACCUUAUACAUUGCAUGGUAAGAUACAUGAGUUACACAAACAACGGGAAAUUAAUGAGAAAGCCCUUCCCAAAAUGUCGGCACCCGCUUUUUUGACCACACUAAUCCAACAGCUCCAAAACCUUCUUCAAAAAACUGGGAACUAAUCAUUUCGAUCCGCGUUUCUUAGGUGUGUUUCUCUUCUCACUUUUUGCGCUUUUUUGUUCAUUUAAAUCAAAUUUUUGGUUCUUCGAAACGCUUUCGUUCGCUGUUUUGAUUGGUAGAAGCUUCUUGUUUUUUGUAUGAAAAUUAAAUUAAAAUUUCAACUUUUAAUUUUUCAGUUCUUGUGUUUUACAUGAAAAUCGACUAUGAAUCAAGGUUCUAAAAAACGCUAGGCGCUAGUCAAGCGGUGGGCAAGAGCCUAGCGCCUAGGCGGCCUAGGCGGAUUUGAGUAAAAUAAUUAUAUAUAUCAUAUAAAUUAGUUAAAUUUACUAUAUAAUAGAUACAUAAACAUUGAGCAAUACGUUAUUUUUGAAAAAGAUAUACAUAUAUAAUGCAAGAGUAUAAUAUAGUUUGGUCUUAAAAAGAAAAAUAAAAUAAAAUAUUAUAUUAUAAGAAUAUAAUAUAGUAUUGUUUUAAAAGAUAGAUAGUUUAAGGGGUAAAAAUAGAAUGACAGUUUAAUCUUUUGCUGGAAAAGACAUCGUGAUCUAGUUGAGUAAUCCAAAUUGGAAGAGGAUACAAGCCAGAUCUAGAAAUGUCAGUCACAAUUACUUCAUUUAUUUACCAAAAAAACAAAAAAAAAAUUGUUUUAAAACAGAACAAAUAAUAUAAUGUUAUCUUAAUCAUUUAUAUAAAAUAUUUAUUGGACCAAAGCAAUAACAAUAGGAAGAAGGAUUCACAAGAUCUUGUUCCUGCCUCGAGGAAGUCGCCGUCAUGCCUUUCAAGCGUCUUUGCAACAAGAUUGUCGGAUUCUCUACCCACCUCAUGAAGCGGAUCCAGAAGGGCACAGUUCGUGGCAUUUCCCUGAAGCUGCAGGAGGAGGAGCGCGAGAGCCGCAUAGACUUUGUCCCCGAGGAGUCCGCCAUCAAGAUCGACGAGAUCUCCGUCGACAAGGAGACCCUCGACAUGCUCUCCGCUCUCGGUAUGGCUGACAUGCCUGGUGUCAAGCAGGUCGACCCGGAAGCUCAGACUCAAAUUUGCAUAAUAUUGCGAUAUUAGUGAUAUUAUCGAUAAUAUCGCGAUAUAUUGACGAUAAUUAAGUGGAUAAGUGUAAAAAUAUCACCAUCUAAAAAAAACGAUAUUAUCGGCGAAAUAUCGCCGAUAAUAUCGAUAUUUUAUUCUUUGGUUGUAACAACAUACAUGGAGACCUAUAAAACGAAAAGCAAAAAGCAUUGGUAAGUAAUAAUAAAACGGAAAAAUUACACAAAUCACAAUUAGAAAAGUUUUAGAUGCAUAACUUCCUAAUGAAUUUUAGAGUAGUUCUAAAGCCAUGGACAAACCAGUCCAGCGCCAAAGGCAACUAAUGAAUUUUAGUUAUAAAGCAUGUGACUCCAUGAACACAAGUAGUGUCUCAAUGAACUAAUAAUGUAGCAAAAUAUCAAUUACGGUGAAAUCUUAAAUCCGCAGUUAGUGCACUAAUGUAUGUCCUACAAAGUUGUAUAAGGGCAAGCCUAUACUUGCUCAAACAGCAAUAAAAAAAAUUAUGAAAAGAAAACGAAAAAAAAAAUGAAGUUGAUGUUAGCAACAUAAAACAAGUCAGUAACAAUGGUGAGGGGCAUUUCUUGUGGGAUGAGGAUUCUCUCCCCUUCUCAUCUCUCUUCUCUUCCCUCCUCUCUUAUUUGAACUGUUACAGUUUAGCCACGUCAACAUCUUAUAUUAAUUUUUUUUUAUAGAAACAAUAAGACAAAAAAAAAUAUGUAAGAAGAGAAGAGGGAAGAGAAUGAGAAUAGAAUGGGAGAUAAUCCUACUCCUUUGUUGUGACAUCGGUGUAGGCCACCACAAGAAUGGAAGAGAGCCGGCCGCUCCUCGCUCAAAGGUCCUUGCAUUGACAUGUUCAAUGUGAUUUAGCUGUUUUACCUAUAUAAGUUACAAUCAUCACAUACUUCUGUUUUGUCUACGACUAUGUGUUAUAAAGAUGUUUGAGAUUUGAAAUGUGAUAGCGUCACAUGUUCACAUGUACAAAUUAUUAGAAAAGAUUGAUGGCAAAUUUCUUAAGGUCGUGAUCCUGGACCCGCCACGAUGAGAAAUAGUUAUUAGCUGCAAUCAGUUAUGAGGCAACGACCAGAAGACCCCAGCCCUGUCAUUGUCUCAUUAAAAUCAAACACGAGAUACAUUAGAUAAUCGUUGAAAUACAUUAUGCAAAGAGUCUUUUAAAAUAAAUGUCAAAUGCAAGCGUCAGCAAAUUGUAAUUUUUAAUUGAAAUAUUUUGUUUGGUUCGUUUGUUAAAGAGAACUUUAACGAAAAAUUAUCGAUACUGUUUACUUUAACAAAAAAUUAUAUUUUUAUAUUAAAAAGUCAAUCAUGAUACUAUUCACUUUACCAUUUAUUUUACCAUUAUCAUUAAAAUUCAAAGUUUUCAAAUCAUUUUCAUUAAUUUUCAUUUUGUUAAAAAUAUUUGAAUAAUUGCACAUUUUAUUAUUUGGAUAUUAUACAAUCUUCAAAAUUUGGAUCCAAGUCCAACCCUUUUUUUUUUAUCGAUAAUUAAAAUACCAUUUAUGAUUUAUCAACCAUCAUUUGUAAUUUUGUAUACUCUUGGUCUUCGGCUAGUACGACAUAUAUUUGCUUAUACUUUUGGUGAGUAAGUAUGAUAUGUGAUUGCUGCGUUUGGAACCGAUGAGAUGUCAAAAGUGUAAUUAAUUAAAGAAAAAUUGUCCCUAAGUAAGGAACCUUAUUAAUUAAUCAACACAUUACAAAUACAAUAAUUUUCCAUGUAUGGCAAGUAAAAUUGGUCUAAAAUUAUAUUCAAAAGAGAUAUCAAAAAUGUCAAAUAGGAUAAAAAGACAGCAACUUUCUUCCAGCUCGAUGAGUUUUACCUAAGGUGGAAUUGACGCCUUCCCAAGCCUUUUUUUUUAACGCAUAGCCCAGUAACGUCAAAUCCAUUAAUUUGGUUUAUUUAAUAAAUGCCUUUCACAAUCCAUCACACAUACCGUACUCAAAUCAAUUUACACAAUUUUUGCCAUUUUUGUAACAGUAAGUCCUACAAUAUAUAAUGAAAAGAAUAAUUUUGACUCAUUCUUUUGGAAACAAAGAAAAUUUAACAUCUAACUUCAAUUGCCAAGAAGGCAACCCAAUGGAAUGCCAAUGAUGUAGUAGCAUCCCACGUUAACAUAUGCUACAAAUGCUUGCCAUCCACACCCAACGGCCACCCUUCUUUUUUUUAUUUUUUAUAACCAAGAAUGAAAUAUAUCAAAUAAAAAAGGGCCAAAUUAAAAACAAAGGCAGAUUUUAAUUCCAACUGUAAAAGAUAGGAGAAUAUAAAUUGAAUUUAAACACGACCACAUACGAUUUUGAUGUUCAACUACUAGCCCAUCACAUACGAUGUUGAGUAGUAGGAGAAGAUCCAUAUCAUCAAAUGAAUUAAGUAAUCCAGCAGCCACAGUUUAUUGUAAAUCUCACAAAAUUAAGGUGAUAAAUCUAAUAUUUUACAAUAUUCUGCAUUGUUUGUCUUAGUGACCAAUUUUUCUCGUAGAGUCAUCGAUUUGCCUCAUUAUUUUUAUUUUAAUUGACAUUAUUACCUUUAAUUUAUUGGUCUUUUUCGCACACAGGACAAUAUUUUUAUCUUAAUGGACAUUAUUCCUUCAGAGAGAGAAAUAAAUAAGUACUCGAACUAAUGUCUUGUUUAAAUUGAUUACCAUAAACCGACAGAAUAUUAGUCAAUUGUUGUAGUCCAGAUUUUCUCAAUCAAGUUAAUUAAUCAACCAUGCAUAUGCAAAUCUGUACAACGUUGCUCUGAUGGGUUGUCUGUAUGCAACUCUUUUUUACCUGUGUAGGAUUCUCUCCUCUCUCCUCUUUCUUCUCUUUUAUUUAUUUAUUUAUGUUUUAAUUUUUAUAUAAAAAAAUUAAUAUAAAAUGUUAACGUGAUUAAGUAUGAACAUUUAAAUUAAGAAAGAGUAAAGGGAAGGAAAAAAAAAAUGAGAGAGUAGAAAAUUCGAAUUCAAUUUUCAACACGUUGAGUUGUUGACCAGGAAGGUAAAGCUGUGGUUUAAUUUGUAAAAGUUUAUUUUAUGUAAGUGAUGGCAUGUAUAUACAUAGGGAAAUGAUUUUUCGUACUUAAUUUGUUGGGUUAAAUAAUAAUUAAAGUGCAUGAACAAAAGGAGGUGCGCAUAAGGGGAAAACGAAGGUGCAAAAUUAUUUUUUAGGGUAAAAGACUGUUUACUACCCUCAUGUUUCGUGGUUUUCAACAUUUAGUACAUCAAUUUUUUUUCGUCCCAGAGUCAUACCUAAAGUGUAAAUUUUGGGACAGUCUCAUACAUCCGUUAGUUAAACUGUUAAGUCUCCCGUUAACUGUGACGUGGCGCCUAUGUGGACAAUGACUCGGCGCCAAUUGGGUCGCCACGUGGGUCCACAUGGAUUUUGUUUUUUUUUUUUAGAUAAGGGAUUUUGGUAGUAUUAAAUUUUUUUUUUCCCGCCAAAAACUUUUGAAAAAAAAUCUUUUUUUUUUCUAUUCCUUCUUCUUCCUCGGGGGGCCGAAUUGGUUCCUCAUUUGUUUUUUUUCUUCUUCCUUCUCCUCCUCCUCCUUCUUCUUCUUCUGGGUUUUGGGGAUUGAGUUUUACUUCUUCUUCUUCCUCCAAAUCUGGGUUGCAGAUUCGGUUAUUUUUAUUUAUUUAUUUUUUCCUCGGGGGAACGAACUGGGUUCCUCAUUUUUUUAUUUUUUUAUUUUUUUCUUCUUCUUCCUCCUCCUCAUCCUCCUCCUCCUUCUUCUUUUUCUUUUGGGUUGCAGAUUCAGUUUUUUUUUUCUUCUUCUUCCUCCUCUUUUUUCUUCUUCUUCUUCUGGGUUUUUGUUUUUGUUCUUCUUCUGGGUUGCGCUGGGAGGUCGAGGGAGCGGACGACGGGGGAAGAGGAGGGAGGGAGAGGUUGGCGCCGUCGGACUCAAACACCGGAGGGUUCAGGUGCGCGUGGUGAGAUUGGUGUCGGAAAUGGCGGAGCUUGAUAAAAUUGGGUGGUGGGUGUCUUGAUAAAAUUGGGGGAUGAAAUGGGUUCUGCUGUGUGGGUAUCAGGGAAAGGAAGGGUGUCGGUGGGUAGGGGGUAGAGGGUGGGGAAGACGAAGGGGAACUGGGAGGGUGGGAUUUGGGGAAGACGAAGGGGUGGAUGAAGGGAGGGUGGGCACGGGUGGGAUUUGGGGAAGAAGGGGUUUUUUAUUUAUUUAUUUAUUUUAUUUAUAAAUUAUUUAAAUUUAUUAAAUUUAUUUUAUAAAUAAUUUAUUUUUAAUUUCCAUGUGGAUGACAUGUGGCGCCCAAUCAUUAUCCAUAUGGGCUCCACGUCAUCACUUAACUGGAAACUUAACAAUUUGACUAACGGAUGUAUGAGACUGUCCCAAAAUUUACACUUUAGGUAUGAGUCUAUGACUUUGGGAUGAAAAAAAAUUGAUGUACUAAAUGUUGAAAACCACCAAACAUGAGGGUAGUAAACAGUCUUUUGCCCUAUUUUUUAUAAUCUUUGUAACAGCGAGUCCCACAAUAUAUAAUAAAAAAAUAAUGAGUGCUAUUAGACUAUUUUAGUGUCCUAUUUUUCCAUCCAUAUAAUAAACACACACACCAUAAAAAUUUAAAAAAAGUAAAAUGUUAUUUCUCCACCACGAUUAUUCCCAAAAUAACCUUAAUAUAUUUUGUUUAAAUUUUUAUUUUUUUAACAAAAAAUAAUAUAAUUAUAACAUGAAAGAAAAACUAAUGAAAAUGGCUUGAAAACUUUGAGUUUUAACGAUAAGGACAAAAUAAAUAGUAAAGUGAAUAGUAUCAGGAUUGACUUUUUAGUGUAAAAAUAUGGUUUUUCGUUAAAGUAAACAGUAUCAGGAACUUUUCAUUAGAGUUCCCUAACAUGAAUUACACAACCACCCAUCAAACGUCACUUGAAGGAAAAUUCUACGCCUAUAUAAUACAAAUCUUUAUGGACUUCUCAAGAAUUAACUAGCAGCACAACUCGACAACUAACAUACAUUAUCAGAAAAUGUGUUACUGUGUUCGUUGCGUGACCUUGGAACAAAAACUAACAAACUAUUAUGCGGUGCUGUUAGCAAAUUUUUUGGCAAUUAUAGGACGAACAUCAUCAGAUCUCCCUGCAAAGGCCCCCGAAUUCCUAACCACUUUUCAUCCUUUUUGAAAAUGUCUCAAAUCUCACCACCAAGUCUCUUUCUCAUUUGUUGAAGUUUUUCGCCUCACACUAGGCCUGGCAAACGAGUCGUGUCUGUCGUGUUUGUGUCAUUUUCGUGUAACACUUGUUAUCUUAACGAGUCGUGUUGUGUCACACCCAUUAUUUUAACGGAUCCUUAAUAGGAACGGGUAAAGUGACCCAACCCGUUAUGACCCGUUAAGAUUUUUUUUUUUCUUAAAUUUGCACAUACCACACAUUGCCACAUAAAUAUUACUUUAAAAUAUUAAAACACAUUUGUUGUUUAAGUACUACAUUUACACUCGAAAAUAAGAGUCUAAUAAAUAAACAUCCAUACACUACUAGUCUAUUACAAAAUAUUAAAUGUGCAAGGAUAUGCAAAAUGAAAGAGUUUUUGUUUUCAAGGUUGUGAAGUAUUUCUCAAAAUUUUAAACCUUGCCAAUAGAACUCAAAGUUUGUAUGUUAUUCCUUUUACAAAAUCCUCGGUUUUCAUCGAUCAUCAUGACAUAAGAUUUCGUGGUAUCCACUAGUGUAAAUAUUUUAAAUUGGAGAUCGAAUUCAUUCACUAUAUUCAUAUAGGGUCAAGCAGUGUAGCUGUAAAAAAUCAUCAAAAUCGAAGUUAAAAUAACCGUUAAAUCGUGAUUUUUCGUUGAUAACCGCCGAAAAGUUUUGUCUCGUUACUUGAUCUCUGAAUAUUUGUUUUUUGCAAUUUUUGGCGUAUGAGAUCUUGAAGCAUAUACAAACAAGUUUGACUGUUUGAUCGUUGAAAUUAGUUUUGUAGAAUGCGUAUCCCAUCAAAACGAUAGAUUCAUUAACAUUUGGAGUUUAUUUAUACUUUCAUUAAGCAUAACAUAAGCUUUUGUGGCAUCCACUAGUGUAAAUAUUUUAAAUUGAAGAUCAAAUUCUUUCAUUGUAUUCAUAUAGGGUCAAGGAGUAUAACUGUAAAAAAUCAUCAAAAUCGGAGUUAAAAUAACCGUCAAAAUCGUGACUUUUCGUUCAUAACCGUCAAAAAGUUUUGUCCCGUUACUUGAUCUCUAAUGUUUUUUUUUUGCAAUUUUUGGCAUAUGCGAUCUUAAAGUAUAUAUAAACAUGUUUGACGGUUAAAUCAUUGAAACUAGUUUCGUAGAAUGCGUAUCUCAUCAAAACAAUAGAUUUACUAACACUUUAGAGUUUAUUUAUACUUUCAUUAAGUAUAACAUAUGAUUUUGUAGUAUCCACUAGUGUAAAUAUUUUAAAUUGAAGAUGAGUUCAUUCAUUGUAUUCAUAUAGGGUCAAGGAGUGUAGCUGUAAAGACCAUCAAAAUCGGAGUUAAAAUAACCGUUAAAUAGUGAUUUUUCGUUGAUAAUCGUAAAAAGUUUUGUCAUGUUACUUGAUCUCUGAAUAUUUGUUUUUUGCGAUUUUUAGCGUAUGCGAUCUCGAAGCAUAUACAAACAAGUUUGACUGUUGGAUCGUUGAAUUUAGUUUCAUAGAAUGCGUAUCCCAUCAAAACGAUAGAUUCACUAAUACUUAAAAGUUUAUUCAUACUUUCAUUAAGUAUUAGUAUAAAUAUUUUAAAUUGAAGAUCAAGUUCAUUCAUUGUAUUCAUAUAAGGUCAAGGAGUGUAAAUGUAAAAAAUCAUCCAAAUCGGAGUUAAAAUAACCGUUAAAUCGUGAUUUUUCGUUUAUAACCGUCGAAAAGUUUUGUCCUGUUACUUGAUCUCUGAAUGUUUGUGUUUUGCAAUUUUUGGCGUAUGUGUUUUUGAAGUAUAUACAAACAUGUUCGACGGUUGAUCGUUGAAACUACUUUUGUAGAAUACGUAUCUCAUCAAAACAAUAGAUUCACUAACACUUAAGAGUUUAUUCAUACUUUCAUUAAGUAUAUCCACUAGUGUAAAUAUUUUAAAUUGAAGAUCAAGUUCAUUCAUUGUAUUCCUAUAGGGUCAAGGAGUGUAACUGUAAAAAAUCAUCAAAAUUGAAGUUAAAAUAAAUGUUAAAUCAUGAUUUUUCUUUGAUAACAGUCGAAAAGUUUUGUCCCAUUACUUGAUCUCUAAAUGUUUGUUUUUUGCGAUUGUUGGCGUAUGCGAUCUUGAAGCAUUUACAAACAAGUUUGAUGGUUGGAUCGUAGAAUGCGUAUCCCAUCAAAAUGAUAGAUUCACUAACACUUAGAGUUUAUUUAUACUUUCAUUAAGUAUAACAAAAGAUUUUGUGGUAUCCACUAGUGUGAAUAUUUUAAAUUGAAGAUCGAAUUCAUUUAUUGUAUUCAUAUAGGGUCAAUGAGUGUAGUUGUAAAAAAUCAUCAAAAUUGGAGUUAAAAUAACCGUUAAAUCGUGAUUUUUCGUUCAUAACCGUCAAAAAGUUUUGUCCCGUUACUUGAUCUCUGAAUGUUUGUUUUUUACAAUUUUUGGCGUAUGCGAUCUCGAAGUAUAUACAAACAUGUUUGACGGUUGAAUCGUUGAAACUAGUUUCCUAAAAUGCAUAUCCCAUCAAAACAAUAGAUUCACUAACACUUAAGAGUUUAUUCAUACUUUCAUUAAGUAUAAUAGUGUAAGUAUUUUAAAUUGAAGAUCGAGUUCAUUCAUUGUAUUCAUAUAGAGUCAAUGAGUGUAGUUGUAAAAAAAUCAUGAAAAUCGAAGUUAAAAUAACCGUUAAAUUGUGAUUUUUCGUUGAUAACCGUUGAAAAGUUUUGUCCCAUUAUUGGAUCUCUGAAUGUUUGUUUUUUGCGAUUUUUUGCUGAUGCGAUCUCGAAGCAUAUACAAACAAGUUUGACGUUUAGAUCGUUGAAAUUAGUUUUGUAGAAUUUAUAUCCCAUCAAGUUCAAUGGUGUGUAUAUAUAUUUAUUAAGUAGAUUUAAAUUUAUUUAUUUUGUACGUAUAACACUUAAGAAAUUGAAUGAUAUGUAUAUUUAAGCCGAUCCAAUGAUCACAAAUUUUUAAUAUUUAAUUUAAUAUAUAUAUAUAUAUAAUUAGUAUAGUUUUUAGGGGUAUAAAAUUGUUAAAUUAAUAUAUAUAAUUAUUAUAGUAUUUUUUUAGGUUAUAAAAUUAUAAAAUUAAUAUUUUACUUAUCGUGUAUCGUGUUACCCACGUGUAUACUCGAACCAACCUGUUAUCUUAACAGGUGCUUAUUAGGUUACCCGAUUCGAUAUCGUGUCGAUCAGAAGACCUGUUAAUUUCAUGUGGUGUCAUGUCAGGUUAUAGGGUCGUGUCAAGAAUUGCCAAACCUACCUCACACAGUCAUUCCUUCCUCCAACCUUUAUGUCGAUUGUAGCCCAAAUCUUGCCUAGCCUCGCUCCGACCCAAAUGUCACACCCCACCACCAUUAUUUAUUAUUUUUUGUUUUUUCAAAAAUUUUAGUGAUUAAUUAAACAGAGGUUUAAAAGUCUUCUUACAAAUAGAUAAAUAUGUUAUUAAUAUUUUUAUUAAAUACUGGAUAGGAAAAUAAGACACUGGUGUUGUAAUAUCAACACUCAAAAUAAUUUGACUCGUCCUUUGGAAGAAAAAACAGAAGUAAAUUUAGCUUCUAGUUUUAAAUUCUCAUGUGUCAAAUCAAAUUUGACAAUGUAAAUUUAACAUCUCGAGAUGCUCUAAUUAAUCAGAAGAUCCUCAUGAGAACGCUCCUCUUUGUCUUCCCAAUUGUCCAAACGAUUCCUCACCUUUUCAACCUGGAAAACAAUUUGAAUGUUAUAUAAUAUGUGCAUGAACAUAUCCCUCUGCAUGCAUCAUGCAUGCAUGAGGUAACUAUAUAUUUGUGAACUCAAAUAUAUAUAUUAUAUAUAUAAUAUGGUUUGUUUAAUUGACAAUAAAACUAAAGAUGUUUAAUUAUUUUUAAUUAAGCUAACCUCUUUGUUCCAGUCAGUCCGAAAUGUGACCCACAUUAAGAUAACAGUUUGCAUAAAAGUACCUCCUAUCAUCCCAACCCAUAUUCCCUGGAAAAAAAAGAAGAUAUAAAUUGUAAUUAAAACAACUACAAUAGGAGAAAUGUAAAGAAAAAAAUGACAUUAGAAGUUGAGAUACCUGAGCUCCAAAGUCGAACUUGAAGCCAAGAAGGCAACCCAAUGGAAUGCCAACGAUGUAGUAGCAUCCCACGUUAACAUAUGCUACAAAUGCUUGCCAUCCACACCCAACGGCCACCCCUUUAUGUUUAACCCAUAAGUGAAGUAUCACAUCAAAAAGGGCCAAAAAGAAAAGGCGGAUUUUGGUUCCAACAGAAAAGGAUAGGAGAAUAAAAAAUUAACUAAAAUUACGAUCACGCAGGAUUUGGAUGUUCAACUAGAGAAGAUCGAUAUCAUUGGGCUAAGUAAGGAAUCAAGGUUAGUGCUAUUCACAAUUAUUUUCACUUUUUGCACAUUUAAAAAAAAAUUUGACCAUCAAAACAAAUGAAUUAAAGAAAAUUAAUAACAAAAAAUUUUAAAAAGUAUGUGAGAGAUUAAAAUGGAUGUGUAGAUAACACUUACUUGAAGUAAUUAAGCAGCCACAGUUUAUUGUAAAACAUCACAACAUUAAGGUGAUAAAUUAUCUAAUAUUCUACUAGGGAAAUGAUUUUCACUCUUUUUAAUUUCUCACACAUUUCUUUAUUUAUAGCCAUCAAAUUGAAUAAAUUAAACAAAGUCUUAUUCAGCAUGAUGCUUACUGAAUCUCGACCAUAAUUAAAUAAGGAUGUGUAAGAAAUUAAAAUGAUAUUACUCAUUUUCCAUUUAUAUUGUCUGUGUAAAAGAAAUUUGGCCACUAAUGACUUUUCGUCUCGUAGAGUCAUCUCUCAUUAUUUUUAUCUUCUUGACAUCAUUCUUUAAUUUGUAAGUCAUUUUGCAUAGCCAAGUACCACCUUCCUUCAAAUCAUCUCCAAUCCUUGGGUUAGAAUUUAAAAUUUUUAAUCUAAAAAAUUUAGGUUAUAACCCAAAAAUAGUUUUUGUCUUCCAACCCUUAUGGGUUAAAUUUUUAACCCAUGAUUAUUAAAGAAUGAAUUUAGAAUAAUUUUUUUCUUAAAAACUUAAAAAAAUAAUUAUGUAGACUAGUUUAAUUUAAUUUUUUGAACAUUUUAACCUAAAAAUAUUUAGAUUCCAAUAAAUAUUGAAAAAUCACUAAACUAGCACCAUGAAACUCGUGGAACACUACGAAAGAAUAUAAAACACAUAAAAUAAUUUUUUAAUUACUUCAACCGUUGAAUUUAAAUUUGGACCGUUAGAUUUUUUUUUUACCGUUAAAUUUGAUCAAAUUAGAUCCUACCAGUUGGAUUCAAUGAUUUUAUAAUAUAAAACUAAAAAAAUACACAUAUAUGGUGGGCUAACCUCACUAACUUAGGGGGGAUCCUGAUCCAAAUUUAUCUCAGAAAUGAGUUUUAGGUUUUAACUUAUAUUUGCCCUUAGAAUUAAAGCAAGUUGGGGUAAAUUUAGAAUAUAAAACUUGAAUUUUACUUCAAUAAUUGGAGUAGGUCUCAAAGGGAGACAAAGAUAUACUCGUUUAGAAAGUCUUGCUUAAACGUGAUAAACAUUACCGACAGAAGAUUUGUCAGUUAUCUCUUAUUCAAGUUAAUCAAUGCAUGCAACUGUUUACACCUGGCUCAGAUGGGUUAAUUGUCUGUAUGCAGAAUUUUCCUUUCAUGGCUAAAUUUUCAACAUAUUGACUAGAUAGGUAAAGUUAUGGUUUAGUUUAUUUUAUUUAAGUGAAUGCAUGUAUAUACAUAGCAAAAGGAUUCUUGUACUUUAUUUUGUUGGGUUAAAUAAGUUAAUUAGUAAUUAAAAUGUAUAAACAAAAGAAAGAGUGCAGAAGAAGAAAACGAAUGUGCAAAAAUUAUUUCCUAUAUAUUUAACGUGAAAUUUCACUUACCUGACAAAACAAGUUGAAUACUGUUGAGAAUGAUAGAUGUUGCAACAUAAGGAGAAAGUUCUGAGACUGCAUUAGAGACUGUUUCCCCCUCAGUGAAAAUGUAACUUAUGACAUCUCGCAAUGCAAGUACAAUUAUGGCACAGAUCACCGAGAUGAGGAAGGAGCUUGAAGUUGCCAUCACAACUGCAAAUGCAGCCGCUUUUGGAUGCCCAGCCCCAAGCUCAUUCCCGACCCUCACACUGCAUAAAUAAGUCAGGGGGAUUAUAGUUUAGGGUUUUGUUAGUUUAAGUAAAUAAUUAAGUAGUCCCCAAAUAAUUAUGUAAAUCAACUCACCUUGCAGCAGCAUUGAACCCCACAGAAACCAUGAACACCCAUCCAGUUAUGGCCAUGCUGCAUUAUUUAAAUAUUCCAUUAGAGAAAAGGAAAAAAAAAAAAAAACAGCUGCAAAAUUGACGUUGGUCAGAACACAAUUAUUAGAUUAAAGACAUUAAAAAAAUGAUCAUUACAACAAUUAUGGAUUUGUAAAAGUGAUUAAUUUGGCAAAUUUUCUUAAUUUGGUGCUUACCAGAUAGAGAGGGCGUCCAAGGCAAUUUCAGCAUCUUGAAGCAACCCAGCAAUCAAAACUAUAAUUUGAUAAUACCAAGUCUCAAGGCAUAACAUUACGGCCGAUGCUGCAGACAACUUAAAAAAUCUGCAAAGACCGGAAAAUGCCCUAAUGCUAAAACCUCUCCAUGUAUGCUUGCACCUUGGAGUCCAAACAAUGUACACAAACUGUGCCACCACUAUAAUCCACCAUGAAAAACUCAGCAUCAACGCCGCACCCAGCAAACCCCAAUCCAGUUUGUACACCACCACCCAGCUUAACACUAUGUGCACCACAAGUGCACCUGCUGAGAUGUAGGCACUAGGGAACACUAUGCUCUGGGCUUGGAGGAAUUUUUGUAUGGGGAAAUUGCAAGCGUAGGCAAAUAUUUGAGGGAUCAGACCGUAUACGAAAACCGCGGCUGCGGCUGAGAUGGAGGCUGAUUCACCUAGGGCUAGCAAGAGGGGCUUGGAGAAGAUGUAAAUUAUCAUAAGUGGGAUCCCAGUUGCCAGGAGGAGGAUUGUUGAUCUCUGCAUGUAUAUGCCCAGCAUUUCAUAUUUAUGUGCUCCAUAGGCUUGACCACAUAGAGUUUCCACUGCACUACCCAUACCAAGCUGCACUAAAAACACAUGUUACUUGUAUAUCUGAUUCAUGACCGAAGACAAUAUGAUAUAUGUUAUGUUGACAGAUUGUAAAUCUGAAUCAUUAAUCCAGUUAAUGAAUUAAUUUUUGGUUAAACAUGCAUGAGGUAAUUAACAAUAACACACCAUGAAACAUAUCUGACAAACAGAACUUUACCAAUCAACUUCGUGCUCCGAAAAUCAAAUUAGUGUUAACAGGGUAAGUUAAAUUAUUUUGUAUACCAUGAGGCCAUAGGCGAAAACUUGAAUCCCGGUGUUGCCAAGAGAUGAGGCAGCAAGUUCAAGAUUGCCAAGAUGACCACAGAAGAUUUGGGUGGACAUGGAUAUAACAUUGUUGAGCAAGUAAACCACCACCGCCGGAGCUGCCAGGCGAUACAGGAUCUUCGUCUCGAGCCACGUGGCCGUUCGGAGACGCUGGAAGUUUGAGAGGUCAGUGUUGUUCAGUGUGUCUUCCAGUUCCGAGCUUACUAUCUGCUGUAAUGAAGAUGUUUUGGGAACUAACAUGGGCUCAGAGAGAUCACUAUCACUUGAGUACUCCAUGCUAGCAAGAAAUCUCUCUCUCUCUCUCUCUAGAGCUAGACAACGAACAAGAGGCAAGAGGUCCUUUCUUGUGAUUUGUCAGCCGUCUACAAGCUACUUAUGCAUACCAUAUGGCAUGACAAAUUUUUCGCAAGAAAAAAGGAGAAAUAAGUGCUAAAAAAUAAAAUGAAUCAAAACCAAUAAAUAUUAUCAAGAAAACUUACGGUCCUGAUAAAGGUUAAUAACAGAGAGAUUAAAUUUAUAGAUAAAAUUUACAUUACAAGAAAACCGUGUGCUUGCUUUACAGAAACCGUGUGCUCUGUGCUUACAGUGCUGAGUGCUGACAAAAGUUGUAUAGCACAUGGGUACUUGUGCUUUCUAAAGACAAAUCUCUCUCUCUCUCUCUGUCUCAUCUCUCUCGUAUUCUCUCUCUCUACAACCCAGAAGGCAGAAACCACCCAAUUUCAUCUCCUCUUUGUUCUGACUUCUCAGCCUCUCUCUCCCACCGUCGAAUUCUUGCACCUCCAUGCUGCUCUGCUUUCUUCCUCUCUUCCUCCAAAUCAGACUCGCUCUCACCCUCUUCUUGCACCUCCAUGAACCCGCGGAGCAUUCCUUUCCUUCACUCCAAAGCUUGGCUGCAGACGGUUCCUUGAAAGCUCGAAGAAAAGUCGACGCGCUGCUUCGAUUACUGAACAGGUGCUGCAUCCAAUCUCACCACCAGAUAUUCUGUCUCUCUUUCAUAGCCAUGGCACGGCAAUCGCAGCAAGUUCUGCGCAGCGCUUCUUCAUCGUCACAAUAUUCCUACCAAUUCUUUCCAAACCCUGGCUUCUUCAAUCCCCACCGCACCAUCUCCGCCGCCCAAAAACCGAACCGGACCGAAACCGAACUGAAAAAAAACAAAACCGAAAAAAAUUAAAUCGAUUCGAUUAAAAAAUCGAACCGUUUUGAACUGAACCCAACCCUAAUCCAGAUCCCAAGCUAAUAGUUUGUCUUUGCUUUAUUUGUUUGAUGAAUCAAAUCUGAGGGAUACAAAGACAGAGAGGCAUAUUAAUUCAUUGUGGCAAAUUCAAGAAAAUGAAGCAUAACGAAUCAAAUUUGACAACGUUCUGUGCUGGGACUUGUAUUUUUUCUUUUACAUAUGAAAAGUUUAGAGCGCAAAAUAAAAAUUUUGGAAUGUCAUUAACAAUUUCAUUACAUUGUUCAUGUGGGUCUUUAUCACUUGAUGAUAAAAAUAGAGUAGUGUUAUUCAUAUACCCGUUAGUUUUCGUUGUUUGAUAAUCUUUAAUUUAUUCGAUUCAAUGACCAGAAAUUAAGAAAAAUGUAAAGGCGGUAAAGUACAGUGUGCGGAUAACAUCAUCCAAAAGCAUUGAUGAGAAAGCAUGCAUUUUUUUUUUUGAAUAAACGAUACCAUUUACACUAAAAGGGUGACAGUGGACUUAUUCUCAUAAUGGACUAGCAAUAAUGUGAUUCAGAUUCGUUUUUGUCGGGAAUCGAACCUAAGACAUCUUACUUACAAAUGAAGAGGAAAACCACUAGACCGUAGUACUAAGUGACAAAAAUCAUGCAAUCUUAAUUCAUCUGAACGUAACUAAAAUUUUCUGGUCAAUAGACUCGAAAAACUGGAAAGCCAUGAGAGAGGUAAGCUUUCAAAAUCAGUAGAUUCAUUUAUCAAUCUAAUCUAAACUAGGCAAACUAGCAAUACUCUCACAUUACACAUUUCCCAUGACAGACGUGAGUUAUACCAGUUGGCCAAUGCAGUUAUACCAGUUGGUAAAUGAGUACAAUACAUGGUCCGAGUUGGUCCAUCACUUGUAAAAGAAGUAAAGAUUAUACUUUGGCUGCCAUCUAAGUUUACAAUAUAAUUAACCACCCCCGAUUUCCUAAUUUUUUACAGAAAUUUUAUCACAGAAGCAAGAAAGAAUCAUGAAUCAGUAGGAUUGGAAGCACAAACUUGAAGUCAGAUUGCCGUAGAUCAUAGCUUCUCUCCCCAGUUUUCACGACAAUCUUACAUCGAUUAGCUUGGGGUGACUUGUAUAAACGACGGACCAACCAUGAAUUUUCCUUCCAAGGACUGGCGCGUUUUCCUCAAGGGAAACUUAUUUACAGAAGCAUCAUAAGGACCAUCCCGGAAGCAAGGAGUAGAGAAAGCAUCACAUUAUCAUGGUACAGACCUGGAGACCGUGAGAGCAUAUGUUUUAAGAUUAAACUCACAGCCCAAAGAGCUCAAUGUACAUAAUACUCAAAGAGUUCUGCGACUAGUUUCCUAAGAAUUUUCAUAAGGAUAAACAAACUUAACAUGCCUUACAUACUGCACAUGGGGACUGCUGAAAUAAACGAAAUUAUCACCAAGGAAGAUUAACGAAUGAACCUACUCACCAUUUCCAGCAGAUGCUGCUGCAGGAAGUGCAGGAAUCUUGACAUCUGGAAUUCGGACAAAUCAGGCAGAAAUCAUGAGAGCACUACUAAAAGAAGAAUACAGCCUUAUGAAAAAGUAGUGCCAAUUUGAAUAUGUAAUGGGAUUGCAAAUGCAGGGUACUCCAUUGAAUGAAUAAACGCUAAGAGCUUGCUUGCACAUACUUUUACUGCACGAGGACGCUGCCCCUUGAGAGGUGGGCCAUGGAGCUGGAAUGUUAUCAUUCAAAUCACAAAGGAAGCUGACUCCUGAACUGUCAAAUGUUGCAUCGGAAGGCAGGCUCGGCAAAAGACAUCCAGACACUAUGAUGCAAAAGCAUAACGAAAGACCAGUUUACAAGAUUAGAAGAAGAAACGAGCAAAAAGCACUGGUAUGGAAUUAUUGACAACUCAGCCAUUAGUUAUUCUGACAAUAAAUUCAAAAACGCAACUUUUUC
rnacentral:lncRNA from 1 species